rnacentral:lncRNA from 1 species
GGAGAGCAGCCCUCUGGGCAGAAGAGUUAGAGGAAAAUGGCGCCCUCCCUGGCCGGGUGGGGUCCGCGUGGAGGCGAGGAGGCGGAGGGGCCCGGGUGUGGCGGAGAGGACGAGGUGCGAGGGGCAGGAACCGACCCGACGCCCUGGAGCCGGAGGGAGUGAAUCUCAGGGAGGUGCGUUUAUUCCACAGGCUGUAGAACACGUGGCCCGCGCCCAGCGGCGGGCUCGUGGUGGUGGGGUAGGGUGGGCGAGGGGCAGACGCGGUGCCCGCGCUCUUGGAGCUUAUAGGCCGGCGGCGGGACGGGCCGCAAACAAGUAAACUAACCAGCUCUUUACACGAGCGAAGAAUGCGGCGAAGGGACCGAGGUACUCGGAGAAUAGCAGAGGGCGUCUGCUUGGUUAGGGCGUGCAGGGAAGGCCUCUCCGUAAAGAGGGGACAUUGAGGUGUGACCUGAAUUUGAGACGGGGGGGCGGGCGUCAGGCAGGGUUGGAGGUCAGAAAGGAAACCCCAGGCACAGCAGCUGCAGGGGUGUUCCCAGGCUCAAGUUUUGUGUUGGGUGGCGGCUGAAACCUUCCACUCGAAAACCAGGCUGUGUUUCUCCGUGACUUGUCCUGAUGCCAGACGGUCAAAGAACAUGGAUGUACACAAGAAGGUGCACUUUUAAAAACCAUUUUAUUUUGAAAUAAACAUAUCACAAGUUGCAGGGAGUGUACGGAGAGGUUGUAUGUACUCUCUCUAUCCACUUUCCUCCAAUGGUUACACCUUACUUACCUGGUAGGUAUCAGAGUAUGGAAAUUGACAGUGGCACAAGGUGUGUGUGUGUGUGUGUGUGUGUGUGUGUAGUUCUGUGCCUUUCUAUCCCGUGCUUAGAUAUGUGUAUCCACCACUGCAACCAAGUUCCAGAGCUAUGCCAUCACCACCAAGAUGUCCCUUGUGAGGAGUACAUUUUUCUUCUUUUUAGUCUGCUCAGUAUCGGGUUGCUUCAUACCCAACGCUUGUGGUAUUUGGUUAAUAUGAAAUGGUAGACUUUCUGAUCUUAGGUCUGGAGGCUUGUGGCUGUCAGGAUGGAAGGUGAAGCAGGCAGGGUUCUAACAGGUUGUUAAGACAGGGGCUGAUCCUCUUUGCCAGUAUGUGAUCAAAGCCUGAUGCAGAGCUGUAAAGUUGACUUCCGGUCACAUAUGGGCAAAGAACUCUUUGUAUUUUCCUGGGUGUGGAGCACAGCUUGUGCAGUCGUUUGGUUUAUAAGGCUCCUGGUGAAGAUAAGGAGGGGAGUACAGUAAUUAAUGAUCCGUCCUCUCUAAAUCAUCCUUGAGAAAAUCCACAGCUUCAUUUUUUCCAUUCUGCAAUGAAUAAGCCCCAGAGGCAUGUACUUCCUGUUUAUGAUGUGGUUCCCAGGAAAAAGGAGCAAACGCACCAGUAGCUGACGAAUCGCUUCAGUAAAGGAGGGCUUGAUUACAAAUUGCAUAUCAUGAAAAACCAGCUUUCAUUUUGCUGGAAAAGAAAAUGUUUCCAAAUGAUUUGGAUGUUUUGUACUCCUACUUGCUCUCUUUGCUCAAGUCUCAAAGCAAUCCCAACAGCAUGACUCCUGGAGAAUUAGAAAAGAGACUUCUCCCUUUGGGACAAAGACUUUGAUAAACACUUGUUGGCUAGGGUUUCAGAUUGCAUCAGUUCAGGGAACUCAUUCCAGGCCCCAGACCAAGAACAAGCUUUGACUUGAUUUCUAAAUUGCUUUCAGGAUGAUAUUUCCAGAUCUUGAUUUUAAAAUGCCAAAUUUUGCUUGCCCAUGAAACUGGUGUAUUCUGGUUUUCUCACGUGUAUUCCUGUAAAAAUGUAUUAAUUAAAUAUACUUUAAAAAUAAAUAUCAUCCUCUUCCUUUGGGAGAAUUUUUAAUGCUAAAUUUUCUUCCAGUAAUGAUUAGAAGUUAGAAUGGUUUUUGAGAACUUUAUGUUGUAAAAAUGGCUUAUAAGAACUUAUAUAAAAUUAAAAAUAAUUGGAAGAGAGAGUUAUCUACAAUCUUAUCUCUAACAGAACUAUUAUAAUUUCGGUGAAUUUUUUGCUCUAGCAGUUGCUUAAAGGAUAUUUGCAUGUAAGUUAAAAUCAUGUUUCCAUGAUUCUUUUAUGUUUUAUUUUGCUCUUAUUUCCCUAGCAUAUUUAGGGAACCAAAUUAAGUAUUGAUUGAUGGUGAUAGUGAUGAUAUUAAGACAUGGAUUUGGUUUAAAGAAAUACAUGCACCAUGAAGCCAUGUAAUUGAAUAAGUCAGAAGGAAAUUUAGUCUGUCUUUUUCCUGUGUCCACUCAAGAAAUGCUUUAAUAACAACAGGAGAAUCAUUGUUUAUUUUUUUCCUUUAAAUUGUGAAUCCAGGCCGUUCUCAAUGCCGUUAGUGACAUCAGCCAGCCAAAUACUUUUGAGGGAACAUCAAUACCAACAAGUUACAUCUGUUUGUGGCAUUUUCCUCAGGAUGGGACUAACAAGUUUGAUCUGUUUGUCUAUGUGGAUUAAUUCACAUUUAUUGUAUUACAGCAACAUUUUAAUCUUAUUAGCUCUUCUCUUUAGGAAAUUACUCCUGGAAUUGAAUCAUACCAAGAAUUUCACCAGAGGAUUUUAUACAUUUGGGCUGUGGCAGCAGACCAAUUAAACCACAGAGCUGGUAAGAGCAGCGAGAGCCCAGGUUCUCAGGUCUUAGGAGUAUAAGAAGCAUUACUGAAACAUUGAUGGUAUUUAAUAGAGCAUCUAUAGGAAGGCUUUUAUUACUCUGCUUUAUUUAUUAAGAAGCUCAUUUAGCAAAUAUUUGUUGAGCACCUAUUAUGUGCCAGGCAUCGCUCUAGGUACUUGGGAUACAUCAAUGAACAAAAAAAGAUGAAAAAUCCUAUCCUCCUGGAGCUUACAUUCUAGUAUUCCUUUCUAAUUUUAUUAGUUUGCUAGGGCUUACACAACAAGGUACCACAGGCUGAAUGGCUUAAAUAACAGUUUAUUUUUCUUACAGGUCUAGAAGUGAGAAGUCCAAGAUCAAGAGUGAGCAGAGUUGGUUUCUUCUAAGGAGCCUGAGGGAAGAAUCUGUUCCAGGUCUCUCUCCUUGACUUUUAGGUGGCCGUCUCCUCCUGUGUCUUCACACUGUCUCUUCUCUGUAUGUGUCUAUGACCACAUUUACUCUUCUUACAAGGAUGCCAGUCAUCUGGAUUAGGGCCCACCCUAAUGAUCUCAUUUUGCCUUAAGUACCUCUUU